UACGUAGGAGGCAAGCGUUGUCCGGAAUUACUGGGCGUAAAGCGCGUGUAGGUGGCGGGAUAAGUCUGCUGUGAAAGCGCCUGGCUUAACCGGGCGAGGUCGGCGGAAACUGUUCGACUCGAGGACGGUAGAGGGGGGUGGAAUUCCCGGUGUAGUGGUGAAAUGCGUAGAGAUCGGGAGGAACACCUGUGGCGAAGGCGGCCCCCUGGGCCGGCCCUGACACUGAGACGCGAAGGCGUGGGGAGCGAACGGG
rnacentral:rRNA from 1 species